GUGAGGAAUAUUGGUCAAUGGGCGCAAGCCUGAACCUGCCAUGCCGCGUGCAGGAAGACGGUCCUAUGGAUUGUAAACUGCUUUUAUUUGGGAAUAAACCUCCUUACGUGUAGGGAGCUGAAGGUACCAAAUGAAUAAGCACCGGCUAACUCCGUGCCAGCAGCCGCGGUAAUACGGAGGGUGCAAGCGUUAUCCGGAAUCAUUGGGUUUAAAGGGUCCGCAGGCGGUCAUAUAAGUCAGUGGUGAAAGCCUACAGCUCAACUGUAGAAUUGCCAUUGAUACUGUAUGACUUGAAUUCGAUCGAAGUGGGCGGAAUGUGACAUGUAGCGGUGAAAUGCUUAGAUAUGUCACAGAACACCGAUAGCGAAGGCAGCUCACUAGGUCUGGAUUGACGCUCAGGGACGAAAGCGUGGGGAGCAAACAGGAUUAGAUACCCGGGUAGUCC
rnacentral:rRNA from 1 species